rnacentral:lncRNA from 1 species
AUGCCAGCAGAGGAAAACAGGCUGGCAAAGCCACGAUACCAUACAGGCGGCGCUGAAGACGCCAGGGUUGUACAGGCGAGGUCAAUGGACAGAGUGGCUCCCCGGCCACACCCUAGGGUGCUGGGGAGACUGGAGAUGCCCCACACCAGGAGCUCCCAUUUGAGGUUCUGCCUCUUGGUUGAAUCCAGAGGACCCCAGCCUCCUCCAGCCACAGUUCAAGCAAGUGGCCUGGCCCAGAGUUUGGGAGCAUCAGGUGGGAGGCAAAGAUGUCCAUGUGAUGGACACCAGGGACGGACCUCCAGCGAGGGCUCUCCAGAGCCCCCGACCCACUUUCCCUCCCCCAGAGCACAAGCCCAGGUUUGUGGGCACCCUGAUGGAGCCGAGGAUUGGAUGCAGUGGUCGGAGCCCGGGGGAGACUCCAGGAGGCAAGGAGCAUGCGUCCAUGGGGACUUGCAGCAGGUGGACACGGCCAUCUGCAUUCAGCCUGCUCCUGCAGGGUCUGGGCUGCCUCGGGCUGAGUCCUCACCCCCCAGGUGGCUGGUUCACCAUGAGCCUCAGCUGCCCCCCACUGCAAUGUCCCUCCAGGUUCCUGGGCUGGGGCGGGGGUGCUGUCAGGUCCCAGAGGGCAGCUGUCCCAUGGAGAGGGCCACAGCCUCACCCUCCAGCAAAGCUACCACGUCUUUGGCAUUGGCUCCUGAGACGCCAGACCUAGCGGGUGCAGUCUACCUGCCCCAGCCCCGUCCGGCGAGGCUGAGCCGUGAGCCGUGUGCCUGCCCACCGCUGGUGAGGGACUCCUGGCCCCAACACUUUGCUUCGGCUCUGCUGAUGCCACUCCGUUGUCUCUGUGUCCGUCUGUUCACCAGUGUCACCUGGAGACUGCAUCCCCGUCUGGGGGUCAAGUCCACUUCCGGCUCAGGGAGGCGCCCCGACCCCUUCACUCUGGCGUGGUGCCAUGCCCAGGCGUUCUUCGUCAGGAGCAGCUCCACCCAGGCGCUGGGUCCCCUUGCUCAGUCCCUGCUGCCUUUAUCUUGUGCUAUCUCCUUGUUCGUUUCCUCUGUGAUCUUAUAA